rnacentral:rRNA from 1 species
CCCUUAGAUGUUCUGGGCCGCACGCGCGCUACAAUGAUGCAGGCAACGAGUGCCGCUCCUUAGCCGAAAGGCUUGGGGAAUCUUGAAAACUGCAUCGUGCUAGGGAUAGAUGAUUGCAAUCGUGCAUCUUGAACGAGGAAUGCCUUGUAAGCGUGAGUCAUCAACUCGCGCUGAAUACGUCCCUGCCCUUUGUACACACCGCCCGUCGCUCCUACCGAUUGGAUGGUCCGGUGAACUAGUCGGACUGCUGUUUGAAAUUGCGGGUGCAGUUGAUUCACGGGAAGUCUAGUAAACCUUAUCAUCUAGAGGAAGGAGAAGUCGUAACA